UCCUUUAAGCUCCAAAAUGCUCCAAAGUCAUAGCUUUACUCCGAAAUGCACCUGAACCUGAAAACAUACCUAGAAGAGUAGAAAACAUAGAUAUAUAUAUAUAGUAAAACACUUAUAUACCAUGGAUGAAAACGGGUCAAAUCCAAGGUAUAUCAGUGGCAGCAGAUGGAUCAAGGAUUGCAGUCCCUUAUCCAUCUAUCCUCUGACAUGUUGCAUUACACAUAUGACCUCGAGGGUCAUGCAUGUCUCUAUUCUCAUCCCUCUGUAGCACAAGUGUCGCGACCAUGUCUGCUCGCGGAUUGGUAUCGAUCGAUGUUCGAGUUGAGCUGUCGAUCGUUGCUCUAUCACAAGUGUCAAUCGACGUAGUAGAGGUAGUGUCGAUCGACAUAGUAGAGGUGGUGUCGAUCGAUGAUCUUCGGUUCUCUUUGCAGAUGGAGCGUUCCAAAAGUGCUGGGUAUGAGAAGAUAAGUAAUUCCUCCUUGAUGCUUCUCGUACUGAUAGGCAUGUACCUGAAAGACAAGAAAAAAAAUUAUGUAAGUAACUAUGACAGUAAAUAAAACCUAGACUAAACCUAUUAAUCAAGUCUAUUGGCGAUCAAAGCUCCUCGGCAAUGGAGCCAAAUUUUAUAUCACUCAAAUUACCCUAAGGAGUGAUUUUACUCUCUCAAAUAAGAGGUUCAAUUGUAGUACUUUGGGAUCAAAUCCACAGAGAACUAGGGCACACAAUAGACUAUAGAAAUCAAGAUUAAGCUAGGCAAACCGUUUAUAAAGUAGUAAAUCAAUGAAAGCAAGGUGAACAAAGUAGUUGUUUGAUUGGUUGAUUGAGGUUGUAAACAAUUAGGAGAAAUAGCUAGACCUAGGGAUUUAUCAAUUAAGAGAUUCAAUACUUCAAUUCCAGGAUGCUAAUGGUUUAUAGAUUAAUUCUAGAACUCGUACUACAAAAAAAGUCUACAUUGAUAGCAGAUUAUUAUAGCACAUUUUACUGAAUUGUUAUCGUAGAUGAUUUAGAAAUUUUCGUAUUAUAUAAUAGUAUUAGAUAAAUGCUAUGAUAGAGUAAAUGCUAUGAUAUCAAUAAGCGGGAACUAAUUUCGCCAAUAUUUAGAUAAAAAAUAGGCAAACGCCAAAUAAAUAAUUUUUCCCUCUCGUGAUAACACAUAACACUUGUGGAUACUUACUUAGAAAAAAAUAUUGUCCUAUAGACUUAAAAAAAAAAGUCCCACAAAUACUUUAUCUCUUUCUCUUCUUCUCCUCCGCCACAUAACAACAAAAUUGACAGAGGAGGAUGACCGGAAGUUGUGAACGGCUCAGUUGGGUCGGAUCGAGGAAGAAACCGACGACUCUCCACCAUCUGCGAGAGGCAAACCAUCGGCGGAGCUUCUCUUCCUCGGUGGCGGAGAUGGAGAAGACAGAGGAAGAGGAAGACAACGGUGAAGAUAUAGGAGCGACGGUGGUUUGUUCGUGCGAGACGCUUGCGAAUCAUCUCACAAACUGUGGUUUUCUGUCUACUCCUCGAGAGUAGGGAUUCGAGCAGCUGAUUCAGGGGAUGAUGUAACCGUGUAAAGUUGCGUCCUUUAUCUUUUUUUUGUAUUCUUACAUUUGUUUCAGGGGUUGAUGUAAUAGUAUAAAGUUGGGUUCCUUAUGAUUUAUGGUAUUGGUGUAUUUGUUUCAGGAGAUCGUGUAAUCAAGGCGUUUUAUGAUUCAAGGUGGGCAUAAUUCGGCGAAUGAUGGGACUGGUGGUGGUGAAUCUAUCUAUGGCUGGGACAAGAGAAAGCUUUCCUGUUCUUGAUGAUACAGAGAAUACAGCUACGGCUGCGGCGGAAGUGGACAGGCUUGACCAGCCCAGUCGAAUUAAGGAAAUAGCUUUCAAGAAACAGACUGAGCUAGAGGAUAUAUACGUUCGCACACGUGGAAAUAAACCCUUAAUCAGCUCGUGUCGAUGGUUCCUAUAGUCGAUUUUGUCUCUGAAGAAAUCUGAUUCCUGGCUUUAUUAUUUAUCAAAUUUAUGUAUCAAGCUACAGUUGUAAUCAUAUCAAAUAUAUAUAUAUAUAUAUGUUGGUAUCGGUCAAUUGAAUUUUAAUUUUAUUACCAAACUAGAGUUGUUGUUGUUGUGUUGCUCCAUUGGUAAAACUACAAUGCAAAAAUGCCAUUUUUUUUAAUGAAAAUGACAUGUAUCUAUUAUGUUUAAUUUUUAUAGAUACAUAAAAAGAGUUUAAAUUUAGGAUUUAGGGUUUAGGUAUAAGUUUAGGGUUUUUUUUUUUUGUGCAACUGUAUAAGUUUAGGGUAUAAGUUUAGGGUUUAAAACUCUAAUUUUUCACACUAUAACCUCAAAAUCUUAACCUCAAACCCUAUUCCCCAAACUCCAAAUAUACUUCAAAACUAAAAACUUAAGAUCUAAACUUUAAACUUUAUAUCAUAAACACUAAACUUUGAGUUUGAAAUGGGGAUAGAACACAUAAUUUUGUUUUUUAGCUGAUCAUAAAGUUUAAUUCUUACUUUCAUACCACUUAUAAAAUUUAAAAUCUAGUCAUUUUGAUCUUAAGUUCAGAAUUUAUUUUUGAAAACUUGACUAUGAACUUUGGUAUUAAACCCCAAACCCUACUAAUACUUUGUGUAUCAAAACAUAAAAAGAGAAUAGGAAGAUAAUUACACUUAAAACUAUAAAAUAUAACUUUUAAACUUAAAACUAAUUGUAAUUACUAAAUUUAUGCAGAAAUAUAACAGCCAGCUUUAAUAAACAUAUCAAUUUAAAAUUAUUAAAAGAAAACAUUGUAAAACACAGAGAAAAGUAAAACAAAAACAAAAAACUAUCAUUGGCUAAUCUUUAUACACAAGGGAUUGCUAUUCUCAUUUUCGUCCUUUAGAUUGGAUUCAAUCCGAUGGACCAGAUGUUUUCUUCUUAUUUUAUUUGUUUUGUUUCUCAUUGGUUGAUAUAAUUUGGCGAGGAUAACCAACUUUUAGUCUCCACCAUUGAUCAAAUUUAUCCAACGGUCUCUCUUUCUUCUCGUCACAAGUCCUCUCCCUCUCAAUCUAUCACAAUCUUAGUCUGAACCUUUCCGCUUCUCUCUCAAUCUCACCAUUUCUAACCUUAAUCUCUACCAUUGGGUCUGACAGAGAUGUGUCAGAGAAGACAUGGGAAGAGGCUCGUGGAGGAUGAAUCUGGUUUUAAGCUCGGCGUUGUCACCAGUCUCGAAUCCGUCGCACCACCACCACGGUCACCUCUCUCUCACUCUGUCUCUCUUUUUCUCUCUGUUUUGAAUCUGUUUUUUGCUCUUGGGCAGAGCUGGUGGUCGUUGGCAAAGGAGACGUCUCGUCCAUUGAGGCGAGGAUGAAGAAGAUCGUUUGACCUCCUCACCACCACCAUAGAUCUAAGAAGGAGCAGGGAAGGAGAAGCAGUGGUGUGAAGAAGCUUUGCUGUGGUGGUCUUGGCUGGUGCUCUCUGCGUCAAAGAUGAAGAAAUCGAAGGAGCUGAAGUUGACGGCGAAGGAGCUGAAGUUGACGGCGAAGAUUUUAGAUUUAGGGUUUAUUUGUUUUAGAUAAAGCUUUUUCGGUUUAGAUUUAGAAACUGGAUUUUGUAAACCAGAAUAAUUUUAAUAAAUAAAAUUUAAUUUUAAUUAUAAAUUAA